CGUGGUAACAAAUUAAAUUUUCUCAUAUGUUUUAAUUUUGUGAUUUUGCAAAAGUCUGCAUACAAGUCUUAAUGGAGCUGACUGGUGAUUUAUUUCCAAGGAAAAAUGACACAUUUAUAGCAAAAGUUCAAAGUCUGUCGGUGGUUUCAGAGGAUUUUUUAAAAGUUUAUGCUGUCAACAUACACCAAGGCAUGGCAAUAGUUCCCUUU
rnacentral:lncRNA from 1 species